UACGAAGGGUGCAAGCGUUAAUCGGAAUUACUGAGCGUAAAGCGCUCUUAGGUGGUUCAGUAAGUUGGAAGUGAAAUCCCCGGGCUCAACCUGGGAACUGCUUUCAAAACUGCUGAGCUAGAGUACGGUAGAGGGUGGUGGAAUUUCCUGUGUAGCGGUGAAAUGCGUAGAUAUAGGAAGGAACACCAGUGGCGAAGGCGACCACCUGGACUGAUACUGACACUGAGGUGCGAAAGCGUGGGGAGCAAACAGG
rnacentral:rRNA from 1 species